GAUGAACGCUGGCGGCGUGCCUAAUACAUGCAAGUCGAGCGAACGGACGAGAAGCUUGCUUCUCUGAUGUUAGCGGCGGACGGGUGAGUAACACGUGGAUAACCUACCUAUAAGACUGGGAUAACUUCGGGAAACCGGAGCUAAUACCGGAUAAUAUUUUGAACCGCAUGGUUCAAAAGUGAAAGACGGUCUUGCUGUCACUCAUAGAUGGAUCCGCGCUGCAUUAGCUAGUUGGUAAGGUAACGGCUUACCAAGGCAACGAUGCUUAGCCGACCUGAGAGGGUGAUCGGCCACACUGGAACUGAGACGCGGUCCAGACUCCUACGGGAGGCAGCAGUAGGGAAUCUUCCGCAAUGGGCGAAAGCCUGACGGAGCAACGCCGCGUGAGUGAUGAAGGUCUUCGGAUCGUAAAACUCUGUUAUUAGGGAAGAACAUAUGUGUAAGUAACUGUGCACAUCUUGACGGUACCUAAUCAGAAAGCCACGGCUAACUACGUG
rnacentral:rRNA from 1 species